rnacentral:rRNA from 1 species
UACGGGGGGAGCAAGCGUUGUUCGGAUUUACUGGGCGUAAAGGGCGCGUAGGCGGCGCAACAAGUCACUUGUGAAAUCUCCGGGCUUAACUCGGAACGGCCAAGUGAAACUGUCAAGCUAGAGUGCGGAAGGGGCAAUCGGAAUUCUUGGUGUAGCGGUGAAAUGCGUAGAUAUCAAGAGGAACACCUGAGGUGAAGACGGGUUGCUGGGCUGACACUGACGCUGAUGCGCGAAAGCCAGGGGAGCAAACGGG